UACGUAGGGUGCGAGCGUUAAUCGGAAUUACUGGGCGUAAAGCGUGCGCAGGCGGUCCGCAAAGUCUGAUGUGAAAGCCCCGGGCUCAACCUGGGAACUGCAUUGGAAACUAACGGGCUCGAGUGUGGCAGAGGGGGGCGGAAUUCCACGUGUAGCAGUGAAAUGCGUAGAGAUGUGGAGGAACACCGAUGGCGAAGGCAGCCCCCUGGGCUAACACUGACGCUCAGGCACGAAAGCGUGGGGAGCAAACAGG
rnacentral:rRNA from 1 species